AAAGCUUUAAGUUAAAUAAACUAUUAACCUUCAAAGUUAAAAUUACAGAAAUAUAUUUGUAAGCUUUA
rnacentral:tRNA from 1 species